ACUACGUCGUUUUGAAACUUAGAACUCAACCAAGCAAGCUUUAGGAUUGUCAUUCAAACAGCGAAAUAGAGAGAAGAGACUCUCAGAUCUAUACCGUCGUUCUCGUUUGUAUCACUUUGGUUCCCAGUUGCCGCUCUCCCUGAUUAUCGCCGCCGCCGUCGCUAUUGUAAUUUAACUGAGGAGGCAAGGGGCUCUAAAUUAGUCUAACUCACUUGUUCACAUCGCCGGCGCUGUUCAUUGUGAUUGUGCAUAUUGUAACGUUAUGACAAUUACGAGUUUGUGCCGAAGCUCUUGUAAUGGAGCACUUGAUCGAUGUUACCGUCUUUCUCCUUGUCUUGCUGACCCUGCAAGGAGAUCUUCAUUGGGGUUGAAGUUGGCAUUGGUGAUGCUGCAUCUGAUAUAUGUAGGAGUUCUUUUUCUUUUCGAUAACGAUUUGAUAGAGAAAACAAAACAAGACCCUUGGUACAUUGCCUUAUAUUUGUUGUUGUUUGUUGCAACAUUGGUUCAAUAUUUUGUCACGUCUGGUUCUUCUCCUGGUUAUGUCCUGGAUGCAAUGAGGAUUCUAAAUGAGAAAAAUGCUGCAGUUUCAAGAGCAUCAAUGACUUCAAACAAAGACAGCCUGUUUCAAGUAAAAAUGGAAGCGUAAUUGUCACUGUGGAUGGGAGCCAGUCAGGAAGGAAUCCUCCACGAAGUAAUGUAACAUCUUGGAUGAAGCUUGUUCUGGACAUGUAUCCUCCUGGAACAUCUAUUAGAACUUUGACAUGUACCUACUGCAAUGUUGAACAGCCUCUGCGAGCAAAGCAUUGCCAUGAUUGUGACAAAUGUGUUCUUCAAUUUGAUCAUCAUUGCGUAUGGCUUGGGACAUGCAUUGGCCAGGGAAAUCAUUGUCGAUUUUGGUGAGUUAGUAUCUUGAUAUCCUUGAUGGAGCUUUGAAGGUGUACACAAAAUGGUAGCUUCCUUCAAGUCAUAUUUAUCUCUAAUCUUGUUUUUACCUAAAAAUUAUUUUCCAUUUGCUGUUCUAUAUUUAAUGAAGUCUAUGUAUUCAACUUAAUUUGCAAUUGUUGGUCAUCAUUGAUCUAGAUUAAUAGUUGAUGUAGUAGAUGUUCUUCCCCAUAGGCAUAGUGUAAGUCCUUGUUUUGACUCAAGCUUAUCUUAGAGUUAGAGGAGACCUAUAUGCAAGUAUCAUGCUAUCCAUUUUAGUAAUAGGAAACUUAAUAAGUAACUUAUUAUUUUUCUAGGGUUCUUUAUCAAUUUAUCUUAUUUUAUUUUUAUUUUAUUUAUAUAUAAGGUUGUAAUCUUUUUAGGUGUGUAAGGUUUUUGGUUGUGAGAAUCUUGUCUGAUGUUAGUUAGGUUUUUUUCCAGUGUCCUGUCCAUCACUGUUACCCUUAGUGACAUUGGUUUAAAAAAAUAAAAUAAAAUCUUCAUCACAACCACCAUCACUAUCACUGGCCACCAAAAGGCCCCAUUUGCUGUUACCACUUGUUGGAAUCACAUUGGAAUGGGGAAGAUACCAGAGCUUCAUGCAGCUCUUUCAUUGCACUUUAACUCCCCUUCAAAUCAAAACCACUGUCUUCCAACUUAAAAUCUUUUGAUCUAGCAUCGUGUGGCACCCAUUCUUCAGAUAUCUGGUUUCCAUCACUGAAAUCUCUUUAAAAUCUCUUUAGACCAUCGUAGCUGGGGUAGCCAGUAGCUAAUUUCUCCUUUCCUGUUGUACACAUCCCUUAACAAUUUCUGUGAAUGCUGUUUUUUUGAAGUGCAUGGUUACUAUAACUUAAAAUAGUUAUAUUUAUAUGAAUGCUAGUUGUAAAUACUAUUUCCAAGUUUGAUAUUAACCUUAUGUUACUAGCAUUCCAUGUUUAUAUGACACAGAGAAAGACAAAAAUAAUUGGAUUUAAUCCCAACCAUUUGUGUUGGAGAGACUGUUUAUAUAUGCUUUUACCAUAAACUUAAUGUUGUACGUUCGAUGUCUUCAUAUUAGUGAUGUGUGAUUUCAACCUCAGGUGGUACCUUUGCGAAGAAACGGCAUUAUGCCUAUGGACUGGCAUCUUGUAUAUUGCAUACCUGAAAACUAACAUUACAAGGGC
rnacentral:misc_RNA from 1 species